rnacentral:tRNA from 1 species
ACCUGAGUGGCUCAGUGGGUGGAGCAUCUGACUUCAGCUCAGGUCAUGAUCUCACAUUUUGUGAGUUCGAGCCCCGCAUCAGGCU